rnacentral:siRNA from 1 species
AGGAGAAAACAAAUUGGGCUGAAG